rnacentral:lncRNA from 1 species
UUUGUUUUGAAACGAUGGCUUUUGUCUUCUCUUGGCUGAGGUCCCUUUUUUGCACAGUGCUCCACCCAGAAUUUUUUAUUAAGUAAACACUCCUAGCUGCAUCAAUUCAGUGCGUGAGGAGAACCUUUGCUGCUGCUUCCAGGCUCCGCAAAACAACCCCAAUUCCUUCUCGUGUUUUUUUCAUUUCUUCUGCUAUUCCGUUUUACCUUCCUAUCACCAUGCAAGCUCUCCUGGGAAUUCUCUUCUUCUGUGCCCUUCUAACUAAAGGUAGCUCUUUGGAGUGUGAAACUUGUUCUGGUGCUGGCAAUACUUGUAGUGCUGGUAAGACCACUUGUCCUGCUACUAAUGAUGGCUGUUCUGUGAUGGUGACAGAAGAAAAAAAUGCUGGCACUGGCACUAGCAAGUUCAUUAGAAAAGAGUGUGCCGUGUUAUCUGAAUGCAAGAACAGAAAAGAAGAUGUAGGGAAGCCUGGUCGUGGCCCAGGAGGGAGCACUAUUCUAAGCCUUGAGUGUAACAGGGCCUCUUUGUCGUCUGGAUCCUUUCUCCUGUCCAUCUCUCUUCUUCUUCUGAUGAAGAUUCUCCUGUCAUAAGCUAUUUGCAGUGAGAGCAGUAGAAAGGAACUUCCUUGUUCCUCAUACAUGCGGUCCUUAUCAGAAUGUGGUCAUAAAGUUUUCUAACAAUAUGAACAUGGAAAUGAAUUAGAGACCAGUGGAAUUAAAGAUAUAAAUAAAUAUACUUGUAGUCUA